AACGAACGCUGGCGGCAGGCUUAACACAUGCAAGUCGAGCGCCCCGCAAGGGGAGCGGCAGACGGGUGAGUAACGCGUGGGAACGUACCUUUUGGUUCGGAACAACUCCGGGAAACUGGAGCUAAUACCGGAUAAGCCCUAACGGGGAAAGAUUUAUCGCCGAAAGAUCGGCCCGCGUCUGAUUAGCUAGUUGGUGAGGUAACGGCUCACCAAGGCGACGAUCAGUAGCUGGUCUGAGAGGAUGAUCAGCCACACUGGGACUGAGACACGGCCCAGACUCCUCCGGGAGGCAGCAGGGAGAAAUUUUGGACAAGGGCCGCACGCUUGAUCCCGCCUUGCCGCGGGAGUAAUGAGGCCUUUGGGGUUGAAAAGCUUUUUUGCCGGGGAAGAUAAUGACUGUCCGGAAAAAAUAGCCCCCGCCUACCUUCGUC
rnacentral:rRNA from 1 species